UAUCAAUAAGCGGAGGAAAAGAAACCAACAGGGAUUCCCCUAGUAACGGCGAGUGAAGCGGGAACAGCUCAAAUUUGAAAUCUGGCCUUCGGGUCCGAAUUGUAAUUUGCAGAGGAUGCUUUUGGUUAGGUACUUUCCGAGUUCCCUGGAACGGGACGCCUUAGAGGGUGAGAGCCCCGUACGGUUGGAUACCGAGCCUUUGUAAAGCUCCUUCGACGAGUCGAGUAGUUUGGGAAUGCUGCUCUAAAUGGGAGGUAAAUUUCUUCUAAAGCUAAAUACCGGCCAGAGACCGAUAGCGCACAAGUAGAGUGAUCGAAAGAUGAAAAGCACUUUGAAAAGAGGGUUAAAUAGCACGUGAAAUUGUUGAAAGGGAAGCGUUUAUGACCAGACUUUUUCCAGGCGGAUCAUCCGGUGUUCUCACCGGUGCACUUCGUCUGGUUGAGGCCAGCAUCGGUUUUCGUAGAGGGAUAAAAGCUUUAGGAAUGUGGUUCCUCCGGGAAUGUUAUAGCCUAUUGUAUAAUACCUUUACGGGGACCGAGGUUCGCGCUCUGCAAGGAUGCUGGCGUAAUGGUCAUCAACGACCCGUCUUGAAACACGGACCAAGGAGUCGAACAUUUGUGCGAGUGUUUGGGUGUUAAACCCUCACGCGUAAUGAAAGUGAACGGAGGUGAGAGCCCUUACGGGUGCAUCAUCGACCGAUCCUGAUGUUUUCGGAUGGAUUUGAGUAAGAGCAUAACUGUUCGGACCCGAAAGAUGGUGAACUAUGCGUGGAUAGGGUGAAGCCAGAGGAAACUCUGGUGGAGGCUCGCAGCGGUUCUGACGUGCAAAUCGAUCGUCAAAUCUGCGCAUGGGGGCGAAAGACUAAUCGAACCAUCUAGUAGCUGGUACG
rnacentral:rRNA from 1 species